rfam:Arthrospira platensis NIES-39 DNA, nearly complete genome.
AGGAGCCGUGUGCUGGGAAACUCGCAAGCACGGUUUUGAAUUGGAGUUGGGGAAGGCGACUUCCCUUUCGACCAUAAC